AUGCAGAAGUAAACUUCCUGUGUACUCCCAGAGAAAAAAAAAUAAAACCACCAAAAACCCAAUAACUGAAUUGCUGAAUAUAGCAAGGCGAAACAAUAUGUAAAUCUAGCAGCUCUGUUGGAACCAAAUGGCGACCAUCAAGGUUGAAUCGAAGUCGGGCACAACUCACGUAAGUUUUGUCUGUCAGCGAUGUCGCCAACCUCUGAAACUCGACCACAGCUUCAACACCCUAGAUCGACAACUUCUUGCCGAGCUCUCAGCACCCUUUACUGCUGUUGAAAGUAAUGAAGAUGAGCUGGAUAUUAUAUCAAAACCUGCAUUGGAUGAUGUUGAAGUUGAUGAAAAUUACUCAAAAAGAGAUAUAACAAGCACCCCUGAACCAGAUGAAGAUGCUGGUGAUUUCCUCCUCUUGGGUGAAACAAGCCCUGGCAAUAUGGACAAUCUCAGCCAUAGAAUACGAGUUUCCAGUGCUUUGUUUGAUGUUAUGUCUGAGCAGUCAGAGAUUGAUCAUCCACUUUGUGAGGAAUGUACAGACAACCUGUUGGAUCAGCUUGAUAACCAGUUAAAGAUAACAGAAGAUGAAUGCAAGGAUUACAGAGAGUUCCUGGAAAACUUGGACAGCAUUCAUACAGAAGAAGAUGGGUCUAAUUUAGAUGUGGAAUUGCAGCAGCUUCAGGCAGAGGAGCAGUCCUUGAGACAACAGUUACAAAACCUGGAGACAGAACAGGAGCACACUGAGGCCCUGUUAGAGAAGGAGAGAGAGAUCAGUCAAAAACUUCAGGACGAGGAAGAUAAGUAUUGGAAAGAAUACAAUGAAUAUAAAAGACAAGUCCAGGAAUUAGAAGAUGAACAGAGAAGUGUUGACAACCAACUUAAGUAUGCACAAACACAACUGGACAAACUGAAAAAAACAAAUGUGUUCAAUACCACAUUUCAUAUCUGGCAUAGUGGUCACUUUGGAACCAUAAAUAAUUUCCGUUUGGGAAGAUUACCAAGUGUCCCAGUUGACUGGAAUGAAAUAAAUGCUGCUUGGGGUCAGACUGUCUUACUUUUGAACUCACUUGCCAAAAAGAUGAAUUUAACCUUUCAGAGGUACCGCCUUGUUCCCUUUGGAAACCAUUCUUAUAUUGAAUCCUUGUCCGACAAAUCCAAAGAGCUGCCGUUGUAUGGUUCUGGUGGAUUCCGCUUCUUCUGGGACACAAAAUUUGACCAGGCUAUGGUAGCUUUCUUAGACUGUUUACAGCAGUUCAAAGAGGAAGUGGAGAAGGGAGACACAGGAUUCUGUUUACCCUACAAGAUGGAGAAAGGGAAGAUAGAGGACAGCAGCACAGGAACAUCAUACUCAAUCAAAAUCCAGUUCAAUUCCGAAGAACAUGGACCAAAGCCUUGAAGUACAUGUUAACAAACUUGAAGUGGGGGCUGGCCUGGGUGUCCUCUCAGUUCGCCAACAAGUGACAGCUGGGAGUUGUGACCAGUAUUCCGACAUUUAUUUAUUUAUUGAACACCGUGAAAAAUAGUCACCUCAUAAUGAUCAAGAAUUGUGAUACUUUGUGUGUUUGUCAUGUUUUAAUAAAGGAAAGACUUUGCU
rnacentral:misc_RNA from 1 species